AAAUUGAAGAGUUUGAUCAUGGCUCAGAUUGAACGCUGGCGGCAGGCCUAACACAUGCAAGUCGAACGGUAACAGGAAGCAGCUUGCUGCUUUGCUGACGAGUGGCGGACGGGUGAGUAAUGUCUGGGAAACUGCCCGAUGGAGGGGGAUAACUACUGGAAACGGUGGCUAAUACCGCAUAACGUCGCAAGACCAAAGAGGGGGACCUUCGGGCCUCUUGCCAUCAGAUGUGCCCAGAUGGGAUUAGCUUGUUGGUGAGGUAACGGCUCACCAAGGCGACGAUCCCUAGCUGGUCUGAGAGGAUGACCAGCCACACUGGAACUGAGACACGGUCCAGACUCCUACGGGAGGCAGCAGUGGGGAAUAUUGCACAAUGGGCGCAAGCCUGAUGCAGCCAUGCCGCGUGUAUGAAGAAGGCCUUCGGGUUGUAAAGUACUUUCAGCGGGGAGGAAGGUGUUGUGGUUAAUAACCACAGCAAUUGACGUUACCCGCAGAAGAAGCACCGGCUAACUCCGUGCCAGCAGCCGCGGUAAUACGGAGGGUGCAAGCGUUAAUCGGAAUUACUGGGCGUAAAGCGCACGCAGGCGGUCUGUCAAGUCGGAUGUGAAAUCCCCGGGCUCAACCUGGGAACUGCAUUCGAAACUGGCAGGCUUGAGUCUUGUAGAGGGGGGUAGAAUUCCAGGUGUAGCGGUGAAAUGCGUAGAGAUCUGGAGGAAUACCGGUGGCGAAGGCGGCCCCCUGGACAAAGACUGACGCUCAGGUGCGAAAGCGUGGGGAGCAAACAGGAUUAGAUACCCUGGUAGUCCACGCCGUAAACGAUGUCUACUUGGAGGUUGUGCCCUUGAGGCGUGGCUUCCGGAGCUAACGCGUUAAGUAGACCGCCUGGGGAGUACGGCCGCAAGGUUAAAACUCAAAUGAAUUGACGGGGGCCCGCACAAGCGGUGGAGCAUGUGGUUUAAUUCGAUGCAACGCGAAGAACC
rnacentral:rRNA from 1 species